rnacentral:tRNA from 1 species
GACCUCGUAGCUCAGUUGGUGGAGCGUUGGACUAGUAUCCCAAAGGUCGCGAGUUCGAUUCCCACCGUGGUCA